rnacentral:rRNA from 1 species
AUUGAACGCUGGCGGCAUGCCUUACACAUGCAAGUCGAACGGUAACAGGUCUUCGGAUGCUGACGAGUGGCGAACGGGUGAGUAAUACAUCGGAACGUGCCUAGUAGGGGGGGAUAACUACCCGAAAGAGUGGCUAAUUCCGCAUGAGAUCUACGGGUGAAAGCAGGGGAUCGCUAGACCUUGUGAUAAUAGAGCGGCCGGUGGCAGAUUAGGUAGUUGGUGGGAUAAAAGCUUACCAAGCCGACGAUCUGUAGCUGGUCUGAGAGGACGAUCAGCCAAACUGGGACUGAGACACGGCCCAGACUCCUACGGGAGGCAGCAGUGGGGAAUUUUGGACAAAGGGCGCAAGCCUGAUCCAGCAAUGCCGCGUGCAGGAUGAAGGCCUUCGGGUUGUAAACUGCUUUUGUACGGAACGAAAAGCCCUAGGUUAAUACCCUGGGGUCAUGACGGUACCGUAAGAAUAAGCACCGGCUAACUACGUGCCAGCCGCCGCCGUAAAAC